CCUGAGAAAGGGGUUGAUGUGGGUACAAUUACAAUACUUAAAAGAUAUUUGGAUAAACAGGUGAAUAGGGAAGGGUUGGAGUGAUAUGGACCUUCUUCA